rnacentral:rRNA from 1 species
CCUACGGGAGACAGCAGUGGGGAAUAUUGCACAAUGGGGGAAACCCUGAUGCAGCGACGCCGCGUGAGUGAAGAAGUAUUUCGGUACGUAAAGCUCUAUCAGCAGGGAAGAAAAUGACGGUACCUGACUAAGAAGCCCCGGCUAACUACGUGCCAGCAGCCGCGGUAAUACGUAGGGGGCAAGCGUUAUCCGGAUUUACUGGGGGUAAAGGGAGCGUAGACGGCAACGCAAGUCUGGAGUGAAAUCCCAUGGCUUAACCAUGGAACUGCUUUGGAAACUGUGCAGCUAGAGUGCAGGAGAGGUAAGCGGAAUUCCUGGUGUAGCGGUGAAAUGCGUAGAUAUUAGGAGGAACACCAGUGGCGAAGGCGGCUUACUGGACUGUAACUGACGUUGAGGCUCGAAAGCGUGGGGAGCAAACAGGAUUAGAUACCCGUGUAGUC